rnacentral:rRNA from 1 species
GACGAAAGAGGGAGGCGGGCUUAACACAUGCAAGUCGAACGGAAAGGCCCUGCUUUUGUGGGGUGCUCGAGUGGCGAACGGGUGAGUAACACGUGAGUAACCUGCCCUUGACUUUGGGAUAACUUCAGGAAACUGGGGCUAAUACCGGAUAGGAGCUCCUGCUGCAUGGUGGGGGUUGGAAAGUUUCGGCGGUUGGGGAUGGACUCGCGGCUUAUCAGCUUGUUGGUGGGGUAGUGGCUUACCAAGGCUUUGACGGGUAGCCGGCCUGAGAGGGUGACCGGCCACAUUGGGACUGAGAUACGGCCCAGACUCCUACGGGAGGCAGCAGUGGGGAAUAUUGCACAAUGGGCGGAAGCCUGAUGCAGCAACGCCGCGUGCGGGAUGACGGCCUUCGGGUUGUAAACCGCUUUCGCCUGUGACGAAGCGUGAGUGACGGUAAUGGGUAAAGAAGCACCGGCUAACUACGUG